GGGUAUCUAGUUGUAGAGAGUUUAGGUUCCUUUUUUAUAUAAUGCCUUAGCUCCCAAAAACAAACUCCUUGCUUUGUAUAAAAAUUCAAAAUAUCUUUAAAUUCUUCAAAAUAUAUUUCUUCCCGCCAAGGACCUUUUUACAUCAGACUUUGAAAAUUCAUAAAAGCUAAUCCAACCGUUCACUUUGUUUCAAAUUUCUACAUAAGCUAGAUGCUAUACUUAACUUUUACCACAACAAAAUUGAACCGCACAUCUAUCACCGAUCGUUCGGCAUCUAAGAAACCCUAGCAGGUGCACAAAACCCUAACUUACAAGCACCCGAAAACUAUUUUCCUUAUAUCUCUUAAACCCAAGCUCUAAAUCACACAAAAUUUGUAUAGAAAGCUUUAUAACAAGAUUGCACUCAAUCUUGGAAAUUUUGAGCUAAAACCUCGUCAAAUUGUCUAAGAUAUAGCUCAAAUUACAAGCACAAGUAAUUCGGGCUACUUACUACCCUUAGAUAUCAAGCGCUGACUUCAACUGCCAAUAUCUCCUUCAUAAAAGAUUGGAAUUCGAUAAACAGUAUGCACAAACUGUAGCCGAAAAAGUUCUCUCUUCAAAUCCGGUCGCCGAUCCUCGUUUGCCGUCCGUACGCGUGCGGUAUGCUCAAAAGAGUGACAGUACGUUGAAAACUUACACCUUAACUUUGAGCGCCUAUAACUUCUUCAUAUAAACCCCAAAUGACACAAAACUUGCACCAAAACCUUAACCAAAAACCUAAACCUUCUGACCCUAGCCUUCAAAGUUCGAAUGGCCUCGAGAAACUAACCCUAAUCCCUAAUAUGGCCUCGGGCAGACUCCUCAAAGUCCAUUGGUCAUGAUUUUUGACCAAUAGGAAUGGAGAUUUUUAUUUUUCAUCUCCAUUCAUCUAUAUUGGUGCCCUAAUUCUUCCCUUUGCUACCAAAAUCCUUCUUCAAUCCUUUUUCUUAUAAGAUUUACAUAAUGUAUGCUCUAAACACCAAAUAAAAGAACCAAAAUAAGUUUUUAAAUGUCACCAAUGUCUAAUAAAGGUGACUCUAAAUAUUUAGAAGUUACUAUCAACCAAAACCAAUCUUAUAAGCCACUAUCAAAAAGAAAUUAAAGUUAUACAAAUUCUAUACUAAUCUUUUUAAACAACCUCUUUUCAAAGUAAUAAUCAAAUUAUAUUCUACAACCAACUAAAAUCUACUAACAUAGCUUUCACCAUGUUACUUAAUAAAUUAUAUAUUAAAUACAUAUUUACAUUAUUUUCAUAUAGUAGCCGAACCACAACAUGACAUCCACUCCUUCUAAACCUGUGCAUCCUCCGGUAUGCACCAAGAAGAACAAAAGUUGUGGUCGGCAUCAUGUUACCUCCUCAGCAAUGUCUUCUUCAAAAUCCAAUUCUUCUUCCUCAUAACUAGAUGGAUCAAAUUCUUCUUCAACAUCUUCAAGGAUUAAUUCUUAAUUCCGUUGUUUUAAAAAUUUUAUACGUUUUCCUGCAAUCGGAAUUUUGAGUCUUGUUCCAUCUAAUUCCCUUAAUGCAUAUGUAGCAUUAUCCAAAACAUGUACAACCACAUAAGGCCCAAACCAACGCUUAGAGAACUUUUUAAGAACACUAUGUUGAUUAUCCAAGCUGUUGUCAUAUACCAAAACCCAAUCACCUUCUUGAAUAUCUUUUGGCCUCAACCUGAGUCGCUUAUCAAAUCUAUCUUUAUUCUUUAAGCGUGACUCUUUUAGCCUUAUAAUUGCUUUUUCCACAUCUUCAGGUCUUCUUUCUAGUUGGCGAAUUCGAAGUACAAGAAGUUCUUCUUUAGAUAUAUUAUCUUGCCAAGGCAAGAUACUCCAAGUAGGUACUUGCUCUUCAAUGGGCAUAAUGGGCUUCUGUCCUUGCAUUAACUCUGCUGGCAUAUAUCCUGUCACUGAACUGUGAGUAGUCCGAUCAGCCCAAAGAAUAAAUGACAAUAAUCUUGGCCAUUCUCUUGCUCUUCCUUUGCAAGCUUUAACAAUGGCCUUUACAAUAGGAGGAUGACCUCUCACUCUUAGCAUUGCCUUCUGGAUUAUAAGAUGUAAUAAGUACUAGCUUGAUCCCACAUCUCUCAAAGAAUUGUCUAGCUUCAUGUGCAUCCAAUUCUCCACGAUUAGCAGUAAUUUUUCCAAUACAUCCAUAUCUACAAAUCACGUCUUCCAAUAAAAAUCUACAAACUCCUUCAGUGGAUUUUAUUCGUAGAGCUCUUCCUUCUACUUGGUUACAUAAAUCUUCUCGUGCCAGAGCUAAGUAUCACAUUUUCCAUAUCCCCAUAGGCAUAGUAACGAGGUCUACAACCCAUUUAUAAUGUAUUGCAAGUGGAUAUGUAGGAUGCAAUCCAUCUCUAUGUCGAAUCUCCGAGUAUAUCUGACACGUUUGGCAUGAUUCUACAAACUUCACCACAUCUCUAUACAUAUUACGCCACCAAUAUUUUUCUUUGAGCUUGUUAAAGGUGGCAUAAAUACCUCUAUGUCCAGCCCACAAACUAUCAUGAAAUUCAUGGAUUAGUUGUUCUUGCAUCUCUUUCUUGCAAAGUACUCUUUGUGGCAUUCCGCUAUUCCGCUUGCAUCGCUUCCAUAGGUAACCACCUUGUAAGAGGUAAUUAUAAGCCUUCCGUCUAAUCUGCUUGAAAUGAAUAUCACUCCAUCCUGAUUGUCUUGAUAAUGUGCUUAAAUAGCAUCCAAUAUCAAUCCAUUCUUCUUCAUACAAUUCUUCUGUAAAUAGUCUUGGAUAUUCAUCUUCUCUUUGUUGUGCCCUAGAAUAAAAGGUAGUACCUAUAUCUUCAGUAUCUUCAAUCAAACCUUCUUCUUAUUCAUAUCUGGCUCGAGAUAACAUAUCUGCUACAAGAUUAUCCUUGCUUGCUAUAUGCCUAAAUUCAGGGUUCAAAGAUUUAAUAUAUGUAAUCCAUCUUAACAUAGCAAUAUCAGGGGUAUUACAAUUAGUAAUCAUUCCCAAUAGUGGCAAGCAAUCUGUUUCCACUAUCACUAGUGCUCCAAUUAAAUAAUCUCUUUUACUUUUCAGAGCUGUAACUAUUUUCCAUAGCUCUCGUUUCACUUGUGGAUAGUUUCUUUGUCGUUCACUUAAUACUUUAGCUCCAAAUCUAAUAGCAAACAUGUUCCCUUCUUCAUCAUUUUGUCCUAAAGCCCAACCAACAGCUAUUGGACUAGUAUCAACUGUAAGUAUCACUGAUUUGCCAUCCUCAUAACUUAUCCUUCGCAAUACAGGUGGAGAAGAUAAUAAUUACUUUAGCUUUUAAAUUGUUUCUGUAUGUUUUUUCUCUCAUUUAAAUCUCUUCGCUUUUCGUAGCAAACUAUAAAGAGGAUCAGCUACAUGUGCAUAAUGAGGAAUCCAUACACAAUAAAAUAUGCAAGCUCCUAAAAUCCUCCGUACCUCUGUUUGUGAGCUACAAAUAUCCUUCAUUCGUUGUAUGGCAUCCACCUUAUUAGGAUCAGGUUUGCGACCAAACCAUCCACAUAAAUGCCCUACAAUAACAACUUCUCGAACUCCAAAAGUAGAUUUAGCUCCUGACAAUGUCAAGUGAACCUCCUCAAGUCGAGAUAAAAUUUUGUCACAGUCUAAAAUAUGAUUAGAUACAAAUUUACGGCACCCCUUCUGAUCCAUUGUUUUAUCUUUUUCUUCUUCCACACACCUUUUUAUUGGAAUAUCAUCUAAGAAGGGCAUAGUCUUUUCUGGAAUGAAAUCACGAAGAACCUUAUUCAUUCCAUUCAUCAUAUGAGCUACUGAGUUUGUUGCUCCUUGUGGCAAUGUACACAUCUUAACCAACCCUAAAGGUGUCCUCAUAGUAGUAACAUCUUUGCUCCCUUCAGCUAGUUGAAAUUGAUCAUAUCCAGAAUAAAAAUCUCCAACAGAGUAAAUAGCUCUACCAGCAAAUGCCUCAGCAAAUUCUCCAACAAUUGGUCCAACUCCAGUAUUUCUAAUAGUUACUUGAUUUACUAGUUGCAUAUCUUGAAUAAACCGUAGUGUUCCAUUUUUCUUUGGUACUAUAAACCAACGGCUGGAAUAUGGUGCAAAUGAUGGCUCGAGGAUCUUCAUUUGUAUCUUUUCUUUUAAAAGCUUCAUAAGUUUAGGUAGAUGUGCUUUAGGCACUGAAAUUGGUCUUAAAUCCCAAGGAACAUGUGAAACUGUAAAUAUAAUCAUUAGUGCCACAACACUUGGAUCAACACAUCCAAUUUCUGAAGGUUCAAAAGCAAAGGCCUUUCCAUGCAUACUUAACAUUUUUUUAAAUUCUAUUUCUUCAACAGGCAAUAGGAAAUUUGUAGAUCCUAUUUUUAACUCAUUAAGUGUGUUCUUAGUAAACUUAUGGCCAAUUUGUUUAGGAUCCCGUAAGACCUUCUCCUUCAAAGCUUGUUGAACUUGAUGAUUGGAAUCACUAGGUAAUGGUAUAGCUACUAGUUUUAUUUUUCUCUCCAUAGUCUUGUACUUAGUUUCAACUUCGACUUUAUAAUCUUGAAAUGCUUGUAUAGCUGAGUAGAGCUCUCUUGAAUGUACUUGCAUCACUUGAUCUUCAUUUCCUUGUUCAACCUCUAAAAGUUCUUCCAUAAAAUUUUCUAAACUAGUCUCUAUAUAUACACCUAUUAUCUUAUCAUCUCCAUCAAGCACACCCACUCUUUUUAGGUCUUUUUCAGAUUUUUGCACAACUUUUUUCUCCCACUUUGGUAGAUCAUUAAGUUGUGUAUAGAUAGCAAAUCCAUUCUUAGAUAAUUCUAUAACACCUGUACAAAAGGUACUUUCUUUUUCAUGCGAGAGUACUGUAGAAUAAGUAGUUAUUUGCUGAUUUGUAGAUACUUAGUUUAUAGUGUAAACAGAGAUAGAUGACUGUUAGAAAGGUAGUUUAGUAGUUAAAAUGGAUGAAUAGUUAGGAAAAGUAGUUUUCAUUAGAGAUGUAGCAGUUGGUAUCUUGUGGUAGGAUAAGGAGGAUGAGAGAGAGGAAGAAACCGCCAUUACUGUGAUAGUGUGAGCCGGGGUAAGCUUGGUGCUACCUCUUUUCUUUUUUUGUUAUGUUCUUUGAAAUAAGAGUAUUGAGAGUUUCUAAAUAUUGUGAAGUGAAUCAUGGAAUGAAAGUGUGAAUGGAAUUAUAUGUUAUUGAAUGAGAAGAAGAGAGAUUGAAUGUUGAAAUCUGAAUGUAGUUCAGCAGAAAGAGUGAAUCUGUGGUUGUGUGAAACACUGUAAUGUGAAUGGUAGUUCUGUGUGAAGAAUUCCAGUAAUUGGAAUGAGGGUAAUUGUGUGCUGAAGCUGUGAUGUUGAGGUAUUACAGUUGAAGAUUAUAAGAGUGAAGAUAUAUUGGUAGAAAUAACAGUUAUUGGUAUGACUGAAUUGUUGCAAAGAAGAGAGUGAUAAGGUGAAAGGAGAGAUUAUCGUUUUCCUAUGUGCUUAGACAAUGGAAAUAGUGACGAUACAUUGGAGGUAAUUAAUUGUGUGACCCUAACGUGAACGCUCAAGCAACUAGUCACUCCCCGUGUUCGAAUUCCCCUAUAUGGGUUUAUUCUAGGAAGUUUCUUUCGGAAUAAGUAAAACAAAAAAUCACAUUUUGGCGCCGCUGCCGGGGAGUGAUAAUAGCUUUGAGCAUUAGGAAUUAAUUACAAACGUGUGAGAAAAUGGACAAUGGAAGACGAUUUCAGUAGUGUUUGAAGAAAGAUUAUGGUUAAUAAGAACGAGAGCAUUGCAUCGAAGAAAAUAAAUCAGUUGAGAGAAAGACAGGGAAGAGCACAAGGAAGGAACUUGGAUAGAGAGGAGCAAGAACGUAAUCUUAAAAGGAAGCAUCGACAGAAUUGGAUUAAACCAUGGUUGCAAGCUUGUCGGCGCAUCCGAACAUAUCAAGAACCGGACAGACUGUUAAUUGUGCAGUCUUAUGUACCGUUAGAAAAACUGCCAAGAGCACUCGCGGGAAAUUUUGUCAACAUUCCAGUGGAAAUCUUGAGGCCGUUAACUGAAAGAGAAAGAGGCAUAGAAGUAUUUGGUACUCCAUUGGGUAAUUUUCGAGUAGGGGGUACCGCUGAAACGAGCAAUAGGGGCUCUGCAGAUUGGCAUGAAUUGGUCGCCAAUAAAGGCCACUAUAUUGUAUUUCAAAAUCCGAUGUUUUCACCUGCAAGUCAACCAAUAAAACUAUUUGCGGGAAAUAACAGUAAAGCAAGGACUGCUGAGAGCUCGGUAAUUAGAGUAAGGGAAAGCAGAGAUUAUUUUAAAACAAAUUUCAAAGGAACAAAAAAUUCAAUGGCGGCAGGAGGACCAGUCGUUCCGAUUGCAGUUCAAAUGGGUACCUUGGGCGAUCGUACGACUACCGUCGCACCAUUAUCUACUUUUCGUGGUUUGCCAGGUGCGGACCCAGAUCAACAUUUAUCUCAAUUCUUGACGACGUGUGUAGCCAAUAAUGGAAGGACAAAAGACAUUUGGUUGAGAUGGUUGCGAGCGACACUAAAAGACACAACGUUCGAGUCGUAUAACCGCCAACCUGUAGGUCAAUUUAUCAAUUGGGAGGCAUUGAAAACGGCAUUUUUAGCCCAUUUCCGACCAAUUGGUUUUGAAGAACGUCUUCGAGAAAGAUUAAUAAACAGCAGAAUGGUACUAGGGGAAGCGGUACAGUCAUAUUAUGGUCGUGUAGCAGAUAUACUUCGGAAAUGGCCAAAUAACCAAAUGCCGGAAUCGUUUGUGUUGUCCAUAUUGGUUAAUGGAUUACACCCACCAGAAUUGAAGAUGUUUGUAAAAGAGGCCCAAUCAGCUACCAUUGCAGCAUCUCUUGAGCGAGCAAAAGUAUGGGAGGAAUGUCAUUACGACCAGCACUUAACCGUUGGCGCCACGAUGAUUCCAUCGCAAGGCGGUUAUCAAAUGACAAAUUGGAAUGACGCAUCGAAAAGUUAUCCGGGAAGGAGUGAUUAUGGUACAAUUCCACAGGGAAUAAUGAAUGCCGUUCCAUUGCAGGCUGUACUACCAUCAUCGUCACAACCGUACGUGCCUUAUUCUGCAUAUCAAAAACUAAUACCUACGAAGGAAUUGACUAAUGAAUUGGUAUCAAGGGAUCCCAAUGAGUCAUUGCUGUUAACAUUAACGAAGAAAAUGGAUGAAUUGGCUAUGAAUCUGGCCAAGGAUAAAGAGAAAAGGCAUAAACCGACCAAUAUGCGACCAAAUGUUUGGUGUAGCAAUUGUAAGGAACAAGGUCAUUUGGUAACCGAAUGUUCUUCACCACCCCAAAUGAUGGUUCAAUGUACCUUUUGUGGGGGAAAGCAUACCACUGCCAAUUGUUGGAACUUAAGGAAACAACAACAAGUCGGACAACAGACCAUGAGUCAACCAACUUCGUGGGAUGUAAAUCAAGUAUAAACGAAUAAUAGGUUCGGCUGGAAUGGAAAUCGAGCGAAUAGACAAAACAGGAAUUAUUCCAAUUUCCAAAACUCUGAAUUUCACCAAGAAGGUAUAUCCAAUACCCAUGGCUUGGGGGUGAAUCAGCAAAGAUAUCAUCAAUAUUCACCCAUGCAGAAGCCAAUGCCAGAAUCUAUAGUACCAAUGGGUCAACUAGGAUCCUUUACUCAACCGACAUGGAAUAGACCGAGCCGUUAUAUACCAGUAGAGACACCCUAUAUCCCUGAAGGAGCUGGCAGAAGACCACUUCGUUGCUAUUGGUGCAGACAAAUCGGACAUUAUGCGAGUGAAUGUCCUAAUCCAAGAGCAAGUGAUGAUUAUGCCCCAAUAUGUGGAAAUUGUAAGCAGUCUGGUCAUACUUAUCAGUAGUGCAAUGCGGCUUUUAAUUAUAAUAAUCGAGACCAGCAGAUGCAAACAAGCCAACCAGCGGAGGACAAAGGUCCUGUUCAACGGGACUCACCAGUACAUGCCAAUUUCAUUGGUGAACGCAGUGCUUACCAGGGGCCAAUAGAAAGGCAAGAAUCCAAUUCAGGACCUGGAUGACCCAAUCGAAGUAACAACAGUAGCGCCGUCCAAGAGGCGGACCGAACCAAUAUCAGUAUUGGGACGUAUACCAAUAUUGAGCCCUCAACAAGACGAGGAACCCACUUCAGUUUCACGUGCCAAUUUUUCGGGGACAUCAAGAUCAAUUCCAAAUGACCACGUCCCAAUACUCGCACAACCCAAUAUAAGCUCGUACCCAUUGAAGGAACCUUUAGUGGUCAAAGAGUCGACUAAGAGGAAGGAAUUGCUGUCGAACAAAGUCAAAACGAAACCAAUGAAACGCAAAAGAGCAUUGGGAGCUACUCUCAGUAUGCAACCCUACGACAUUUUGAAGGAUUUGGAUGUUAUCCAGCCUUCAAUUACAAUGAAGCAACUUUUGGCUGUAGCACCGGAAUGUCGAUCAACAUUGAAUUCAGCGUUAAUACGGCGGAGAUCCCGCACUAGAGAAAUACAUGAAGUUAGCUUAAACCUAGAUCCGGGAGCACCAACAAUCGAUGUAUCAAUCGAUGGAGUUUUAAUUCCAGGGGUACAAGUCGAUGGUGGCUCCAGUGUGAAUUUAAUGAACGCUGAUACAAUGGAAGACUUGGAUCUAAAGCAAUUGCUCCCUACGACAUUAGUUUUGCGAAUGGCAGAUCAUAGUCGAGUUAAGCCGAUGGGAAUCUUACGCGAUAUUGCCACUGUAAUCGCGGGAUUGACAUACAAAAUCGAUUAUGUUGUAUUUAGGUUACAGAGUUCUAUGUUAUCGUAUCCCAUUUUAUUGGGCAGACCUUGGUUGUAUCAAGCCAAGGCUAAGAACGACUGGGACCGCGGCACAUUGACAAUUGGAAAAGGCAAUGACCAGAUUGUUCUACAAAUUUAUCCGUUACAAUAUCACGGAGAAACCCAAUUGCCCGAAUCAGAAUUUACAUCGGAUAACGAGAGUCACUCGAUUGAGGAAGAUGACGAUGCUAUAGUUUCACCGCAAUUUGGAGUAGGUCAAACCCCUUCUACAACCAAGGGAGGAGUCUACCAAUGUGGUGGCCCCGGUGAAUAUUUACUCCAUCAGGAGGAUGCCUCUUACUCGGAUCAUGUUAUUACCGAAUGGAUGACCCGAUAUGAUGUCAAUCAUGUGAGUGCAAUAUGAUGUCAAUCAUAUGGAGUGACCCGAUAUGAUGUGAAUCAUAUGGCGUGAUUUUCUAUCUAGGAAUACACCGGAUAUCUAGCUAUAGAGAGUUUAGGUUCUUUUUUUAUAUAAUGCCUUAGCUCCCAAAAACAAACUCCUUGCUUUGUAUAAAAAUUCAAAAUAUCUUUAAAUUCUUCAAAAUAUAUUUCUUCCCGCCAAGGACCUUUUUACAUCAGACUUUGAAAAUUCAUAAAAGCUAAUCCAACCGUUCACUUUGUUUCAAAUUUCUACAUAAGCUAGAUGCUAUACUUAACUUUUACCACAACAAAAUUGAACCGCACAUCAAUCACCGAUCGUUCGGCAUCUAAGAAACCCUAGCAGGUGCACAAAACCCUAACUUACAAGCACCCGAAAACUAUUUUCCUUAUAUCUCUUAAACCCAAGCUCUAAAUCACACAAAAUUUGUAUAGAAAGCUUUAUAACAAGAUUGCACUCAAUCUUGGAAAUUUUGAGCUAAAACCUCGUCAAAUUGUCUAAGAUAUAGCUCAAAUUACAAGCACAAGUAAUUCGGGCUACUUACUACCCUUAGAUAUCAAGCGCUGACUUCAACUGCCAAUAUCUCCUUCAUAAAAGCUUGGAAUUCGAUAAACAGUAUGCACAAACUGUAGCCGAAAAAGUUCUCUCUUCAAAUCCGGUCGCCGAUCCUCGUUUGCCGUCCGUACGCGUGCGGUAUGCUCAAAAGAGUGACAGUACGUCGAAAACUUACACCUUAACUUUGAGCGCCUAUAACUUCUUCAUAUAAACCCCAAAUGACACAAAACUUGCACCAAAACCUUAACCAAAAACCUAAACCUUCUGACCCUAGCCUUCAAAGUUCGAAUGGCCUCGAGAAACUAACCCUAAUCCCUAAUAUGGCCUCGGGCAGCCUCCUCAAAGUCCAUUGGUCAUGAUUUUUG
rnacentral:lncRNA from 1 species